CCUACGGGGGGCAGCAGUGGGGAAUAUUGCACAAUGGGGGGAACCCUGAUGCAGCGACGCCGCGUGAGUGAAGAAGUAUUUCGGUACGUAAAGCUCUAUCAGCAGGGAAGAAAAAAGGACGGUACCUGAGUAAGAAGCCCCGGCUAACUACGUGCCAGCAGCCGCGGUAAUACGUAGGGGGCAAGCGUUAUCCGGAAUUACUGGGUGUAAAGGGAGCGUAGACGGCAAUGCAAGUCCGGAGUGGAAUGCGGCAGCUCAACUGCCGAACUGCUCUGGAAACUGUAUGGCUUGAGUGCAGGAGGGGUAAGCGGAAUUCCUGGUGUAGCGGUGAAAUGCGUAGAUAUCAGGAGGAACACCGGUGGCGAAGGCGGCUUACUGGACUGUAACUGACGUUGAGGCUCGAAAGCGUGGGGAGCAAACAGGAUUAGAUACCCUUG
rnacentral:rRNA from 1 species